rnacentral:rRNA from 1 species
AUUGAACGCUGGCGGCAGGCCUAACACAUGCAAGUCGAGCGGUAGAGAGGUGCUUGCAUCUCUUGAGAGCGGCGGACGGGUGAGUAAUGCCUAGGAAUCUGCCUAGUGGUGGGGGAUAAACGUUCGGAAACGGACGCUAAAUACCGCAUACGUCCUACGGGAGAAAGCGGGGGGAUCUUCGGACCUCGCGCCGUUAGAUGAGCCUAGGUCGGAUUAGCUAGUUGGUGAGGUAAUGGCUCACCAAGGCGACGAUCCGUAACUGGUCUGAGAGGAUGAUCAGUCACACUGGAACUGAGACACGGUCCAGACUCCUACGGGAGGCAGCAGUGGGGGAAUUUUGGACAAUGGGCGCAAGCCUGAUCAGCAAUGCCGCGUGCAGGAUGAAGGCCUUCGG